rnacentral:rRNA from 1 species
GUGUCAGCAGCCGCGGUAAUACGUAGGUGGCAAGCGUUGUUCGGAAUUACUGGGCGUAAAGCGCGCGUAGGCGGCUCUUCAAGUCAGGCGUGAAAGCCCCGAGCUUAACUCGGGAACUGCGUUUGAUACUGUCGAGCUAGAGUGUGGAAGGGGCGAUUGGAAUUCCGUGUGUAGCGGUGAAAUGCGUAGAUAUACGGAGGAACACCAGAGGCGAAGGCGGAUCGCUGGGCCAACACUGACGCUGAUGUGCGAAAGCUAGGGGAGCAAACGGGAUUAGAUACCCCCGUAGUCC